UAAUGAAAAGCGAAAAUUUGCAAUCGGUUUCGGCCCGAUCCUUGGUCAAUUGACCUUCAUUAU
rnacentral:tRNA from 2 species